CCCACAAGUGCAUAAAACAGGACAAAGGCAGAGAGGUUUGGUUUCAUUAGGUUACCUUUGGAACAUUUGUGUUGUUGGUUGCGGCUCAGACACACAGGUAGAAAGAUGGGUAGCUCUGGAUUUUCAUGGAAAUUGGCGGAUCAUCCCAAGCUUCCAAAGGGUAAGACUGUGGCUAUGGUGGUUUUGGAUGGUUGGGGAGAGGCCACCGCCAAUGAGUACAAUUGCAUCCACGUCGCUGAAACACCAUGCAUGGAUUCCCUUAAAAAGGGUGCCCCUGAACGGUGGAGAUUGGUCAAGGCUCAUGGUACUGCUGUAGGACUUCCAACAGAUGAUGACAUGGGCAAUAGUGAAGUUGGUCAUAAUGCACUUGGUGCUGGUCGCAUAUUUGCUCAGGGUGCUAAGCUUGUUGACCUUGCGCUAGCCUCUGGCAAAAUUUUUGAAGGAGAAGGUUUCAAGUACAUAAAGCAAAGUUUUGAAACCGGCACAUUGCAUCUCAUUGGAUUACUGAGUGAUGGUGGAGUUCACUCCAGACUUGAUCAGUUGCAGUUGUUGCUUAAAGGAGUUGGUGAGCGAGGUGUUAAGAGAGUCCGCAUCCAUAUUCUUACAGAUGGCCGUGAUGUUUUGGAUGGCUCAAGUGUCGGAUUUGCAGAAACCCUUGAAAAUGAUCUUGCAAAAUUGCGUGAGAAAGGUAUUGAUGCAAAGAUAGCAUCAGGUGGAGGUCGCAUGUAUGUCACAAUGGAUCGUUAUGAGAAUGACUGGAAUGUUGUUAAACGAGGAUGGGAUGCUCAAGUUCUUGGUGAAGCCCCACAUAAGUUUACAAAUGCUGUUGAAGCUAUCAAGAAGCUGAGGGCAGAACCAAAGGCCAAUGACCAGUAUCUACCUCCUUUCGUUAUUGUUGAUGAGAAUGGGAAACCUGUUGGUCCAAUAGUUGAUGGUGAUGCUGUUGUUACAUUCAACUUCCGAGCUGAUCGUAUGGUUAUGAUUGCUAAGGCUCUUGAAUAUGAAAAAUUUGACAAAUUCGAUAGAGUUCGUUACCCAAAAAUCCGCUAUGCUGGAAUGCUUGAAUAUGAUGGUGAAUUGAAGCUUCCAAGUCAUUACCUUGUUUCUCCACCAGAGAUUGAUCGGACUUCUGGUGAAUAUUUGGUUCAUAAUGGUGUGCGGACUUUUGCUUGCAGUGAGACUGUUAAAUUUGGUCAUGUCACAUUCUUCUGGAAUGGAAACCGCUCUGGGUAUUUUAAUUCACAAUUGGAGGAAUAUGUGGAAAUUCCUAGUGACUCUGGGAUUUCGUUCAAUGUAAAACCAAAAAUGAAAGCAUUGCAAAUUGCUGAAAAGGCAAGGGAUGCUAUUCUUAGCCGGAAAUUUGAUCAGGUACGUGUCAACCUUCCAAAUGGUGACAUGGUGGGGCAUACAGGUGACAUUGAAGCAACAGUUGUGGCUUGCAAGGUAGCUGAUGAUGCUGUGAAGAUGAUUCUUGAUGCAAUAGAGCAAGUGGGUGGAAUUUAUGUUGUCACAGCUGACCAUGGAAAUGCAGAGGAUAUGGUCAAGAGAGAUAAAUCUGGAAAACCUAUUGUAGGCAAGGAUGGAAAAGUCCAAAUUCUUACUUCCCAUACUCUUGAGCCUGUACCGAUUGCCAUUGGAGGUCCUGGAUUGCCCCCUGGCAUCAGAUUCCGUACAGAUCUUCCCACCGGUGGGCUGGCCAAUGUUGCUGCAACUGUGAUAAAUCUUCAUGGAUUUGAGGCUCCCAGUGACUAUGAGCCAAGUCUUAUAGAAGUAGUUAAUAACUAAGGAACCGAAAGAUGAAUUAUUAUAAUUUGCAAACAUACAGGGAAGGCUGUAGAUUGCAGCCUUAAAAUAAUUACAAAUUUUCCACAUGAGGUUAUACGGGUGAUAAGAUGAAUGAAGUGAUGGGAAGAGAGAGACAAAGAAAAAGCGUUAUAAUUGUUCAGGCCAAUUAAUGAAUAAUAAUGGAUUGUUCUAUUUUCUUUCCUCUCUUUUGUCCCAGGACUGUUCCAAAAAUUUACAUCACUAUAAUAUAACAAAAAGCAUGUGAAAGUUUUU